rnacentral:rRNA from 1 species
AUUUUUGAGAGUUUGAUCCUAGCUCAGGGUGAACGCUGGUAACGUGGAUACCGGCAUGCAAGUCGAGCGGUACUGAAGUCGCAAGACUGAAGUAUAGCGGCGAACGGCUUAGUAACACGUAGGUACAUACCCCAAAGUCGGGCAUAGCCAGCCGAAAGGUUGGGUAAUUUCCGAUAGUUCCUGCAAAGGUAAAGCAGCAAUGCGCUUUGGGAAUGGCCUGCGGCCUAUCAGAUAGUUGGCAGGGUAACGGCCUACCAAGUCUAUGACGGGUAGGGGGCGUGAGAGCGCGACCCCCAAGAAUAGAACUGCGAACGGUCUAUACUCCUACGGGAGGCUGCAGUCGAGAAUCUUCCGCAAUGGGCGAAAGCCUGACGGAGCGACGUUACGUGAAGGAAGAAGCCCUUCGGGGUGUAAACUUCUUUUAUUUGGGAGGAAGGCCCAAAGCCAGACAGUACCAGAUGAAUAAGAGGUUGCUAACUCUGUGCCAGCAGCAGCGGUAAUACAGAGACCUCAAGCGUUACCCGGAUUUAUUGGGCGUAAAGGGUCCGUAGGUGGUAAAGUAAGUUUUAAGUUAAAACUCAUCGGCUUAACCUUUGAGCUGCUUUUAAUACUGCUUUACUCGAGGGCGCUAAAGGCUAACGGAACCGACGGAGUAGGGGUGAAAUCCGUUGAUAUCGUCGGGAACACCAAAAGCGAAGGCAGUUAGCUGGGGCGACCCUGACACUGAGGGACGAAAGCGUGGGUAGCAAAAAGGAUUAGAUACCCUUGUAGUCCACGCCGUAAACGAUGGAUGCUAGCUAUUGGCAGUGUCGACCCUGCCAGUGGCGAAGCUAACGCGUUAAGCAUCCCGCCUGGGAAGUACGAACGCAAGUUUAAAACUCAAAGGAAUAGACGGGGACUCACACAAG